rnacentral:rRNA from 1 species
AGGUAUCACUUAAGUGAAUAAAAUAGCUUUCGUGAAGCGAACCCGGCGAACUGAAACAUCUCAGUAGCUCGAGGAAAAGACAUCAACCGAGAUUCCGUUAGUAGUGGCGAGCGAACGCGGACCAGGCCAGUGCCGACAAGUGAAUUAGCAGAACGAUUUGGAAAGAUCGGCCAUAGCGGGUGACAGCCCCGUAUGCGAAAGUGAAAUUGUCGGACUUGAGUAGGGCGGGACACGUGUAAUCCUGUCUGAACAUAGGGGGACCACCCUCUAAGCCUAAAUACUCGUAUGCGACCGAUAGCGAACUAGUACCGUGAGGGAAAGGUGAAAAGCACCCCGAUGAGGGGAGUGAAACAGUACCUGAAACCGAAUGCCUACAAGCAGUAGGAGGGUCCUUGAGGCCUGACUGCGUACCUCUUGCAUAAUGGGUCAGUGACUUAGUGUAUCAAGCAAGCUUAAGCCGAUAGGUGUAGGCGCAGCGAAAGCGAGUCUGAAUAGGGCGAAUGAGUUUGAUGCAUUAGACCCGAAACCCGGUGAUCUAGGCAUGACCAGGCUGAAGGUGCGGUAACACGCACUGGAGGGCCGAACCGUUCAAUGUUGAAAAAUUGUCGGAUGAGUUGUGUUUAGGGGUGAAAGGCCAAUCAAGCCGGGAAAUAGCUGGUUCUCCGCGAAAUCUAUUGAGGUAGAGCGUCGGACGAAUACCUUGGGGGGUAGAGCACUGGAUGGAUGCGGGGGUCGCGAGAUCUACCAAUUCUAACCAAACUCCGAAUACCCAAGAGUACUAUCCGGCAGACAGACGGUGGGUGCUAACGUCCAUCGUCAAAAGGGAAACAACCCUGACCGCCAGCUAAGGCCCCCAAAUCAUGGCUAAGUGUGAAAGGAUGUGGGGAUCCCAAAACAACCAGGAUGUUGGCUUAGAAGCAGCCAUCAUUUAAAGAAAGCGUAACAGCUCACUGGUCUAAAUAAGGGUCUUUGCGCCGAAAAUGUAACGGGGCUAAAGCCAUACACCGAAGCUUAGGGUUCGUGAGCAAUCACGAGCGGUAGCGGAGCGUUCUGUAAGCCAGUGAAGGGAGACCCGUGAGGGCUCCUGGAGGUAUCAGAAGUGCGAAUGCUGACAUGAGUAGCGUUAAAGGGGGUGAAAAGCCCCCUCGCCGUAAGCGCAAGGUUUUCUACGCAACGUUCAUCGGCGUAGAGUGAGUCGGCCCCUAAGGCGAGGCAGAGAUGCGUAGCUGAUGGGAAACAGGUCAAUAUUCCUGUACCG